ACGUCGUCGUUCCCACCUGGCUAUUAACUUAUCACCAGAUGAUUAUGACGACG
rnacentral:pre_miRNA from 1 species